UAUUUUCUACAGAAAAAAAAGAAUCCCACUAUAUAAAAGCUACUAAUUUUGGAUGUUAUAAAGGAUGCCACAUAGGCAAAAUAUUCUCAGCCAUUCAUUCUGCCACGUCACUGAUAACCCAGACCAACAAAUCGUAAUUGCAGCCCAGCCCGUUAACCGGUUUCGCUCACGAAAUUGCUGUCUCCGUCUCUUUGCUGUUGGGCCAGAUUAAAAAAUUUUCCAGCCCAUCCCAUUACUUAUUUCAACUGUCAAACUAUUUUCUUUUGCAUUUUCUAUUAUUUCAGACAAUUUUUUAUUUCAACUGUUUUCUAUAACAAUGUGCAAACCGCCUAAGUUCCCUUUGAUCUUAAAAUAGUACGCCCAAGAUAACAAAACCCCCUCAUUUCACACACAGUCCCUGUAAAUUUCUAUAAAAAACUAAAUUCUACUAUCAAACCCACCCAACAAAUUUACUACUACCACCUAUAAUUAUGGCCCGGCCUACUUAAACUUUAAAAAAAACCAUGACAAUACUUAAAAAAAACACACCCUAACUAUGUUCACUUCAAAAAAAAAAUUUAAACAAAAUUGCCAAAAAAAUACUAAUUCUCAUUCUUAUCUAUGUAGCACAUGCACCACAAGAUCAAAGCAAUUAGGACAACACUCUCGAACCUCAUCCAAUAAUCGUUAGGAUCCUUAGGGUCUGGCCCAUCACAAAUCACAAAAAUAAAGAUGCUUUCCUAGGGACAACUUUCAUAUGUCUUGACAUCCAGGUUUGUCUAAAAUUCAUAUUUUUAAUUAUUCCAACUAUAUUUCAAAUGAUUGCUUCUAACCACUAAACAGGAACAAAAAAUAGAGGGGAAGGUACCUAUUUCUACGUCUGACACAAUGUACCAACGCUUCGAAGAAGGGAAAAUUUAUCACAUUAGAUAUUUUAAUCUCCUCCCCAAUAACCAACGUUACAGGCUUACCGAUCAACCAUACAUAAUCAAUAUCAAAGAAACAACAACUAUUACACUGAUUCAAGAAAACAUUGCACCGAUUCCUUCAUACAUAUUCCGGCCACAACGCUACACCCAGUUGAUCAGCUUAGCAAGUGAAACCAACUUCCUACCAGGUAAAAAAAAAACAAAAACUCUCUCACACAAAAAUAAAUCCUAAUUUUUUUCCAAACAACCAAAUUAUUCCUACAGAUGUUGUUGGCCGCAUUUGCCUCAUCCAAGGAAGUGAUUUAUAUAACCACUACACAGAUUCAAAAAUCAUCAUUGGAUUACGUUUAGACAGGUACAAACUUUUUAUUAAGUAAUAAUUGGUUUACAACUAAACAAAAUCUAAUACAAUAAUUAUUUGUAGAUCGAAAUUGGUACGUCUAACUUUAUGGGACAAGGAGGCAUCUAAUUUCAGGGAGUUAAAUCGCAUAUCAACAAGGAAAAAACAAGUCGUAAUCAUCACAAGUAUCAUUCCACGGAUACAUGAAGGUAAUAAACUAAACAUAAACUUUACAAAAAACUAAAUGCUAACAAAUAUUUGCCUUUUUCAGAAAAACUAUCACUCACAGCAACACCUGGAACGCGCUUCUACUUUAACAACGAAAUUGAUAUCAUUCAACGCUUCCAAAAGAGGAAUAAACUGCUAUCUUAAGCCUCAUAGCAAACACCACCAGUCAACUUUUAAAACAUUUACGUUACCACUUCCUACGUCAAUUAAAUUGUCACACACAAAGAUUAUUUUCUCAUUCAAAUAUCGAAUUCCUCAAAACUAUUUAUUAUUCAUACUUACAGUUGUUUUUUAAAAAAAAAUGAUCACCGUUUCGAACUUCUCCCCUGUAUAAAAAAACAAAACUUAACUUAUCCUUUCAGAAACCAAAAAACACACAAUUUUAAUUCACCUGAUUUUUAUUAAACAUGUAAUCCGCGCGCAGCGCGGACGCCGGCCCUAGUCUAUAAUAUAAUGAGGGAGUUUCUCUCCUCCUGAGGUGACACGUCAGCACUUUUUAAAGGGGCCAAAUUUAUUUUCGUAUAAGACUUACGUCGCCCUGGCUAUAACAACUAAAGUCUACUUGGCCCAGUGGUAUAACCUGCUCAUAGUAAAGCUUGAGUGUACGGGUUUGAAUCCCCCUGGCUUCCUUUUAAUUUUUUUUCUAUUACACCUUCAAGGCUCCUUAAGGUGUCCACGUGUGCACUUUGUGGGUCCCACCUUUAGUUUUCUUUUUAUUUUUUCUUCCUUUUGUCGGGUGAGCUGCGAUCUGUAACCAUAAUGGGCUUCAAAUUUUUUUUUAGGGAUUCAUUGUUACCGUGCUUUGCCUCUUCCACUUCUCCUUCUCCGUUAAUCUUUGACUCCAGGGACAGUGGAUGCUUCUCCAACUUUUAGCCUCCCCUAUCAUUCAACGGGUUUCUCUUAAUUUUUCGCAAAAAGCAAUUAUCUCAAAGCGAAAGGCAGAGAGAAAACGUUAAGGGCAGAGCCCGACCCCUUCUUCUUCUUCGUGAAAAAGCUUCUGAAGCCCAGAAAAAGGAAGCAGUUUUAUAUUAAAUCUACUAGAUUUUUCAUCAGAUAAUUGACCCUAAAGCGAGCUUCUUUCACGUCUUCCCUUUUCAUCAUCUCAUCGUUCCAACUCCAUAUCUAUCACCCUCCCCCACUCUCUGUUCAUCUCAAAGACCGGAAACGCUCUUGAUGCUGCAGAGGGUAUUAGCCGUGAAGCUGAACGCCGAGGCUGUCCUGCGUCUAUCGUCUCCAACGACGAAUUCGACUCGGGCAAGGAGACUCUCCAGAUUCUUUUAAGGAAUUUUGGAGGUUUCUUCUUCAAAGAAACUUGGGAAACUCUUGGUUGCAACGAGUUCGCUUUGCAGUGUUUGGGCUAGGUGAUUCAGGUUAUCAGAAGUACAAUGUAAGUGCAUCUGCCACAUUGUGUCAUCUGUUUCACGUUCUUCUCAACAUACAUUUUAUUUCUGGUUCUGUUUUGAUGUAUUCAUCAAUAUGAAGGAAAAAAGUAGGCUUUACCGAGUAAAAAGUAUACUAGCUAACUAAAGAUUCCCACAACCAGAAAUCUUGAGAUGUGUCUGAAUUAUUGUUCCCUCCAAGAGAAGAUUUCUCAGAUGGUUCAGAUCGAACGCAGCGGCGCCACAACUGAUGUCAUGAAGAACUACUUCAUUGGGAGUGUGUUGAGCGGUGGAGGAAGUGUGCCAUCACCAAAGGCCACACCUGAAGCUUGGGUGAACAUGGUCAACGAGAUUCAGAAGGCUGCUCUUUCCACCCGCCUUGGGAUCCCCAUGAUCUAUGGGAUUGAUGCUGUCCACGGUCACAACAACAUGAAUGGCGCCACCAUUUUCCUUCACAAUGUGGGCCUUGGAGUCACCAGGCAAGUCUUUUAACUGUUCUAAUCUUCAUGACUAAAAUUUUGUAAGGCUAUUAACGUGAGACUAGCUUUAAUAUUUUUGUUUCUUUAUUUACUUAUCCUGUAGGUGAGGUGUGUUUAGAUUUAUGAAUCCAUUGUUUUUUUUGUCUCAUUAUGUUUUGUUGGAUUUUGUUUUCAUCAGGAGGCUUCAAAUGUCUCUGCAGUUGCGCAAAAGAGAUGGAAUCUGAAUGAUUUUGACAUUGGAAAGCCUCUUUGAAAAGGCAAGUUUGGUCACGCUUAUCUUGCUCGAGAGAAGCGGGUUAGUAUCCAUUCACACAUAACAUUUGUUUUAGAUCUUUACAUUGUUUUUUUUCCUCAAAUUCUCACACAUUGUAUGCAACUGUGAAAGAGAGCAACCACAUUGUCUCCCUGAAGGUUCUGUUCAAGACUCAGCUUCAACAAUCUCAAAUUGAGCAUCAGUUAAGAAGAGAAGUUGAGAUUCAGUCACAUCUUCGUAACCCCAAUAUACUCCGGCUCUAUGGUAACUUCUAUGAUCCGAAAAGGGUUUAUUUGAUACUUGAGUAUGCUGCUAGAGGCGAGCUUUACAAGGAGCUUCAGAAAUGCAAGUACUUCAGCGAAAGACGAGCUGCAACUGUUGGUGCAUUCCUUUUCCU